rnacentral:rRNA from 1 species
GUAGUUUGAUCGUGGCUCAGAUUGAACGCUGGCGGCAUGCCUUACACAUGCAAGUCGAACGGCAGCAUGAUCUAGCUUGCUAGAUUGAUGGCGAGUGGCGAACGGGUGAGUAAUACAUCGGAACGUGCCCUGUAGUGGGGGAUAACUAGUCGAAAGAUUAGCUAAUACCGCAUACGACCUGAGGGUGAAAGUGGGGGACCGCAAGGCCUCAUGCUAUAGGAGCGGCCGAUGUCUGAUUAGCUAGUUGGUGGGGUAAAGGCCCACCAAGGCGACGAUCAGUAGCUGGUCUGAGAGGACGAUCAGCCACACUGGGACUAAGACACGGCCCAGACUCCUACGGGAGGCAGCAGUGGGGAAUUUUGGACAAUGGGCGAAAGCCUGAUCCAGCAAUGCCGCGUGUGUGAG